AUUGAACGCUGGCGGCAGGCCUAACACAUGCAAGUCGAGCGAGCGGCGGACGGGUGAGUAAUGUAUGGGGACUGCCCGAUAGAGGGGGAUAACUACUGGAAACGGUAGCUAAUACCGCAUACUAUCGGAUCACCCAUAUGGGAUUAGCUAGUAUGUGAGGUAAUGGCCCACUUAGGCGACGAUCCCUAGCUGGUAUGAGAGGAUGAGCAGGCGCACGGGGACUGGAAUACGGCCCAGAAUCCUACGGAGGCAGCAGUGGGGAAUGUGGCACAAUGGGCGCAAGCCUGAUACAGCCAUGCCGCGUGUAUGAAGAAGGCCCUAGGGUUGUAAAGGACUUUCAGUCGUGAGGCGUUACCGACAGAAGACGCACCGGCUAACUCCGUGCCAGCAGCCGCGGUAAUAC
rnacentral:rRNA from 1 species